GCUCGAUUAACUCAGUGGUAGAGUACUACCUCGACAAGGUAGGAGUCACUGGUUCAAAUCCAGUAUCGAGCA
rnacentral:tRNA from 1 species